CAUUACUGUAAGAAACAAAGAGUCUUGAGACUGCGUUUAGACGUGUGCUCGACUCCUACUCUUUCAUUCACAUACACCUUUGUGCACGAUGGGAGAGAUACUUCUCCCCACAUAUAUAUACACACCUAGUUAUAUGCAUGUCUUAUGCUCUACGGAGUGAUAAAAUGUAACAACUUUCAACAACGGAUCUCUUGGCUUUCGCAUCGAUGAAGAACGCAGCGAACGUGCGAAACGUAAUGUGAAUUGCAGAAUUCAGUGAAUCAUCGAAUCUUUGAACGCAUCUUGCGCUCCUUGGUAUUCCGAGGAGCAUGCCUGUUUGAGUGUCGUGAAUACUCUCAAUUUCAUUCUUUUUGUUUGAAAUUGGAUUUGGAUGUUGUUGUUGGUGCUUAUAGNNNNACAUACAACUCGUCCUAAAUGCAUUAGCGAUCUGGCUUGAUCACACACAAUGUGAUACAUCUUAUGUGCAUUGUUACAGUCAAGUCAAGACUGCUUUCCAGGCCAUCACACAUGCAUAUAUAUGCAUGUCAUUUGACCUCAAAUCAGGUAGGACUACCCGCUGAACUUAAGCAUAUCAAUA
rnacentral:rRNA from 1 species